CCUACGGGAGGCAGCAGUGAGGAAUAUUGGUCAAUGGACGAGAGUCUGAACCAGCCAAGUAGCGUGAAGGAUGACUGCCCUAUGGGUUGUAAACUUCUUUUAUAAAGGAAUAAAACGAGGCACGUGUGCCUUUUUGCAUGUACUUUAUGAAUAAGGAUCGGCUAACUCCGUGCCAGCAGCCGCGGUAAUACGGAGGAUCCGAGCGUCAUCCGGAUUUAUUGGGUUUAAAGGGAGCGUAGAUGGGUUGGUAAGUCAGUUGUGAAAGUUUGCGGCUCAACCGUAAAAUUGCAAUUGAUACUGGCAGUCUUGAGUACAGUUGAGGUAGGCGGAAUUCGUGGUGUAGCGGUGAAAGGCUUAGAUAUCACGAAGAACCCCGAUUGCGAAGGCAGCUUACUAAACUGUGACUGACAUUGAUGCUCGAAAGUGUGGGUAUCAAACAGGAUUAGAUACCCUGGUAGUC
rnacentral:rRNA from 1 species